AGAGAUGCUUUGGUGCCUUCGGGAACUCUGAGACAGGUGCUGCAUGGCUGUCGUCAGCUCGUGUUGUGAAAUGUUGGGUUAAGUCCCGCAACGAGCGCAACCCUUAUCCUUUGUUGCCAGCGGUUCGGCCGGGAACUCAAAGGAGACUGCCAGUGAUAAACUGGAGGAAGGUGGGGAUGACGUCAAGUCAUCAUGGCCCUUACGAGUAGGGCUACACACGUGCUACAAUGGCAUAUACAAAGAGAAGCGACCUCGCGAGAGCAAGCGGACCUCACAAAGUAUGUCGUAGUCCGGAUCGGAGUCUGCAACUCGACUCCGUGAAGUCGGAAUCGCUAGUAAUCGUAGAUCAGAAUGCUACGGUGAAUACGUUCCCGGGCCUUGUACACACCGCCCGUCACACCAUGGGAGUGGGUUGCAAAAGAAGUAGGUAGCUUAACCUUCGGGAGGGCGCUUACCACUUUGUGAUUCAUGACUGGGGUGAAGUCGUAA
rnacentral:rRNA from 1 species